rnacentral:rRNA from 1 species
UACCUACGGGAGGCAGCAGUGGGGAAUAUUGCACAAUGGGGGAAACCCUGAUGCAGCGACGCCGCGUGAGUGAAGAAGUAUCUCGGUAUGUAAAGCUCUAUCAGCAGGGAAGAAAAUGACGGUACCUGACUAAGAAGCCCCGGCUAACUACGUGCCAGCAGCCGCGGUAAUACGUAUGGGGCAAGCGUUAUCCGGAUUUACUGGGUGUAAAGGGAGCGUAGGCGGCAGGGCAAGCCUGAUGUGAAAGCCCGGGGCUCAACCCCGGGACUGCAUUGGGAACUGCCCCGCUCGAGUGCCGGAGGGGG